rnacentral:lncRNA from 1 species
AAGUGGUGAAAAAUGUGUCUUUUCAUUUCCUCUUUACUUCAUGGCCUGGCUCACUUUUCACUUGAAAAAUUCCCAAGUCCAGGCUUGUAAUGUGCUGUAUCCCAAACGAGGGCAGGAGUGCACAAAAAUGCAAAAGUAGCCUGGUGAUGACCCAGUGAUAGGAAGCUUGCCUGGAUGCAUGCCAAGGCCUUGGGUUCCAUCCCUGAUACUACAAGUUCAUAAAAUCAACAAAUGAGUGCUGGCCAUUUCCCAGCCAGGCUUCAAUCCCAUGACUUGAGGAUAGAAGCUGUCGUGUCAGGCCUGCAUACUUGUCUGGCUCUGCACUCUUGGUUCUUGCCAGCAGCCCACCUUUGCCCUUCUCUACCUCUCCAGCCACACAUAGCUAGGUUCCUGGCACUGACUCUUGCUAGUUGCAGGCUUAGGCUAGCCUUUCCCUGUGUCCACCCAGGACUUGUCCUUUAACUUCAUGCUGCUUUCAAGUCUCACCUUCCUGACGAGCCCCGGGAGCACCAAGAGCUCCUCUGUUGUACUGAGGAUCCGCUUCGUCAGCAUUGGCUCCACCGUCCUGUGUGGCAGCUGACAGUCUAUGGAUCUGAGGGAAAGCCCAGCCAUCCAGGAAAUUUCCUCCCAGAGUCCCUGCAGAGUUGUGAAGAUUGUUUCACUGCACCGUCUUCCUCCGUGGACUAGGAGAGCCUCAAGGUUAGCCAUUCCUUAGUGACAGGCCAGCUUGCUCUCCAGGACAGGUGACCUGAGACCCUGCAGAACACAUCUCCCUUGAGUUUGGGCCCGUUGAAUGAUGGUGUGAGCACUUGUCACUACAGGCUGCUCCCAAAUGCCCCAGCCUGUGCUUAGACCCGUCAGUCAGUGCUCUCACUGACAUAGCUGAGCACUCAAAGAUGGGACUCCAGAUGCCAAGUGCUUGUCUCACCUGUGUCGGAUGUGAGUCUGCUUCAGGAUUUCUCUACACAUCUGGCACACCAGUGUCAGGGCAACAGUGCGGCCAACUCCAAGUCCUGGACCCUGGACUUUGUUUUUGCUUCCUGGAGCACCAGCGUGACCUGGACUGGUAACACAGCACCUGUAAAGCAUAUCAGCCAAUCAAGCCCAAGCUACAGUUAGCACUGUGUGGAAGUCAUGGACACCUACCAGAUCUAUCACCAACUCCGAGAUGGGUGGCCUCAAGGAACUGUUCAAACUGAGAUUUGCCAAUGAUUUGAUCUUCAUGAAACGCUGGGGUGAAGAACCUGCUUAGUAAUACACAAGGAGCAGUCUGAUGGAGAGCUUCACUCAUGGCAUCCCAGUCCGUGGCUUCACCCAUCACAUCUUUGUCUGGCCUGUAGGUUAUCGUCAACAGAGGCUUGCUUGCAGGAGACUUGCUGGGGAUUUCACACACCUUUUAGGUAUUAACCAAGCAGCCUGGAGUUCAACACCCAAUCUAAAAGCUGUGGACAGAAAGAGGAAAGAAAUGAGUAUGGUUAUCAGGGACUUGGAAGCCCUGCAGUGACAAAAUACGGAGCAAAACAAGUGCCCAAAGUAUGAAGCAAAAGUGCACCACCAGGAGCGAACUGACUGAUCCUGUGGUGCCAGUGAUCCCAUUGUACCUUGCAUUUUUCAAAUGAACUGAAGUGUCUGAAUGAGCUGGCAGAGCUGAGAAGGAUGCACCCGAGUGCCCAGUGGACUCAGCCAGGAACAUCACCAGAUGUUGGGGAUCCACACCCAAGGGUCCCUAUGCUUCCACUCUAACCGGGGCUGGUGCUGUUGGUUACACUGCUUCAAGCAAUCUGGAGCAGAGGUGGAAGGUCCAACCUGGGAGGGUUUGUGUGUGCCCAGCUCGAACGAGGUAUUCUGUGGGAAAGCAGACGUGAGCAGGGCAGCAGAGGUGGUGGUGCAGGGAAGAGGUGAGCAGCACUCUGGAGUCAGUCCACACUAACUCAGUGCACAGCCUUAGGGCAACACACUUAUUUUGCACUGUACCUCAGUUUCCUGCCUGUAAAGUAGGUAUCAAGUUAUCAACCCUAUUUAUGAGCAAUGCUUUACAGUGCUGAGCACAUCCUCCAGUUCCCAAAUACAUGCAUUGGCAUGAACUGACUUGAAUGGAGGGGACAGGCUAGUGAACUAUGCAGUAAGGUUGUGAGGUCCCCACAACAAUUGGCCUCCACAGAUGGGAGAGAUAAGACUAUGAAAGACAUGGAAGAGGUCUCCCUUGAAAGAUGAGAAAUAUUUAUUGAUGUUAUUUCUUCAUUUUGAGGAGCUAGGAGUUGUACCCAAGCUUGGCAAAGGCUGGGCAAUUGUUUUCAUCCCAUAGGCAACAGCUCCAUCAUGUUUUAGAUGAUCACCUGAGAGGAGUCUGACUGAUCCUAAUUGGGGAAAACAAAUCCAUGUUCUUGAUCACACUUUUCCCUCUACCCCCACUGUGAUCACUUUAAUGAGCCCCAGCUGAACCUCAGGCUGGCUGCAUGACUGUAGUAUACAAGGAAAUCUGCUGUCAAGGAGAGGAGAGGAAACCAAGGAGCCUGGAGUAAGUCUCUGAGCCAGUGGCAAGGGACUGCCUGUAAAGAUAGGAGCCUCUGUUUGCAAUUCCCAAAAAGCCCCAGCCUUCUCCCUAGCUUGGUGUGGGUCCAGGGCCAGACAGGCCCCUGGAGGUAGCAUGGAGGCAGCCUCCUGGCCAUAGAAAAAUGGUAGACACAACCCUUUCCCUGAACACAAGCUGUAGGUUGGUAAUGAUGUUGACUCUUAGUGUUGUUGAGCACAAGCUUCCCCUCUGACCUGACCUGAGUAACUUUACUUACUUAGAGGCCUAUUGUCCAAAGAGUUGCCAUAGAAGACAGCAGCUUAGGAGCCUCUAUACUGGUGGAGUGCUACCUUGGCCAGUAGGAAGGGGAACUGUUUCUGCUGUUCCUCCCUGCUUCCCAUAGACCUGAGUCUAGCCUUCCUGGCUCACUGACUGCCCAUAGCCUUCUGUAACUAAUAAUGUCCUUCCUAUUUCCUAAUGGCUACCUGUGGCUAACUUUAUAAGAGACCACUAAUAAGUACCUCCUCUUGUGCCACAGUUUUGGUCAUGCCUGCUUUGUACCCACUCCAUGAGAACUCAUAUUACAUGGUCCAGAAGAGUGCAUCUUCAUGGAACUGACAGUGUCACUGAUAGAGGUCUCGCAUUCUUGUCUGUGCUGAUCUUUAGCUUCUGGGUUUCUGUGUAACCUUGCCUUUGCUUUUCAAGAAGUUAGGACUCCAGACAAGCCUCGCUGUUUAUUUUAAAGAAGAAAGUGUGGCCUAGAGAGCCCAGCUAUAUUGCUGUGAUUGGUAAUGCAUUUGUAUACUUGCUGUGUCAUAGUUAACUUCUGAAGCGCUUCAGACAAUGAAGCCAAGCAACACAGAGCAGAGUGCCUGGAGCUUCCUUUGGACUGAGGAAGAAGGAGAAGGUGACCUGUCGUUUGUGGGAAGAGGAACGGAAAGCCAUCAAGGUCCCUCAGAGGGGGCUGAGGAGGUCCAGCAUUGGUGUCAGUUUGUGAAGAUCAUGCAGAACCAUGCCAGAAGGGUGAGGGGUCUGCACUCCAUGUUGAGAACUGUAGGUCCUCGAGGCAAGAAGUGGAUGGAGGUGUCUCAGGCAUCAAGAGGAGACCCUGAGGGAAAGAGGAGGUCGGCCUGCAGAGAAGCUUUGCAUUUUGUUGUUUGUCUACUUGUUAAGUGUGGAGAAUGGCUUUCCCAUGGGGCCAGAGCCCGAGCAGUAGACUCGACCACACUUUUUAUUUUCUUUAAAGCUCUUGCAUGUCUGCUGUAGUGUUGCAUUUUUGCUAUAUAAGCCCAUGUCAUCUUACCCACUUUUAGUAAAGGCUGCUACAGACAUGAAAAAAAAAAAAAAAAA